rnacentral:lncRNA from 1 species
UGGGUGGGAAACGAAAAUCCUGACGCGAUAACUGAAUUUCUAGUGGGUGCUAUGGUUCCACCGAUGCCAUGUACCUCACCUAAUAGUUAUUGAUAACACGUACAUCAAUGCAUGGAUAACUCUUUAUCCAGAUACUUCUCUAAGCAUUGUACAGCGAUUUGGUCUCUAAGUCAUGUGGGCUCACCUAAUAGUUAUUGAUCACACUCUUUAGUUAAGUCUGACCCACCAUUCACAAGCAUGUGCAAGGCCAUCAUUGGGACCCUCACCUAACAGUUAUUGGAUCCAACCCCAUCCUUAUCCUAGAGCAACUCUUUGCUAAUAGAAUGGUUGUGUGUUCUUGGUGCAAUUAAACCACUAUGACCAGUUGAGAAUAAUCAACACCAGUAGCAUGCCUGCACAUCUACAAUGAUGGAAGACCUACGAACUUAAUAUUUAUAAAGAGAUUUAGGUUUAAGUCUCAUCUAAUCAGUCAUCAUAUAACUAAUCUAAUUGGUAUGGGCUAAAUCAAACCACCAAGCAACCUUACUCAGGACUCAAUCUUUCAAAUUAGCCAGGUAAGUGGAGAUCAGUGGGGAUCCCCCUUGCUUUUCUUAGACACUAAUAAAUUGACCAGAUCAGUAAAUGGAACCAAUUAAAUAACCACCUCUCAAUUAGUUGUCUUAGACACCAAUAGGUCAAUUGGUCCAACUAGGUUAGCUUAAGCGAAUCAAGCUUAAGCCAUCGAGCCGAAUUAGGUCUUUAGGUUAAUUGAUUCUAUACAUGGGAUUCAAUCGAUUUGAUCAACAACAAUUGCUUGAUCUUAUAACUUAAUUGAUCUAAUUCUAAUCAACACUAGACUCAAUUUGAUCAAUUAUUUAAUUGAAUUAGAUCCAUUGUGUUCAAAUCAAAAAUCCUAGAUGCAAUCUAAUUACAUGAUCUAAUUUUUGAUUUUUUCACGAUCAAAAUGUUAGAUGUAUGUCCUAGAAGCCAAUAUGGUCGAUAUAUUAUAAUAAUUCUAAGAUAUAAUUUUAUAUUUAAUAUAUUAAUUUGAUCAAUAAAAAAAUAAAUUUAUUUUUAUUCAAGUGUGAUGUGUCCUUGAAUCAUCCAUAGAAUUAGUUUUCGAUAUAUAUUUUCAAGAUGUUGAGAUUUAGAGAUAUGUAUUUAAUUCCUAAAUACUCUCGAUCAUAGGAUUAUCAUGAGGAUGGUAUCGAUCUAGAUAGACUAGCACACAGAUCAUUUUCUUCAGGAUAGAUAAGUCUCUGGUCUACAGUGUAGAGAUACUAAGUGACGAGUGCA